rnacentral:rRNA from 1 species
GACGAACGCUGGCGGCGUGCUUAACACAUGCAAGUCGAACGAAAAAUCAUUGAAAGCUUGCUGAUAUGAUUUUUAGUGGCGGACGGGUGAGUAACGCGUGAGGACUUGUCUUAUACAGGGGGACAACAGUUGGAAACGGCUGCUAAUACCCCAUAAGCCUUCGGGUAAAAGGAGCAAUCCGGUAUUCGAGAGACUUGCGUCCUAUCAGCUAGUAGGUGAGGUAACGGCUCACCUAGGCGAAGACGGGUAGCCGGCCUGAGAGGGCGAACGGCCACACUGGAACUGAGACACGGUCCAGACUCCUACGGGAGGCAGCAGUGGGGAAUAUUGGGCAAUGGGGGCAACCCUGACCCAGCGACGCCGCGUGAGUGAAGAAAUCCCUCGGGAUGUAAAGCUCUGUUGUGUGGGAAGAUAAUGACGGUACCACACGAGGAAGCCCCGGCAAACUACGUGCCAGCCGCCGCUGUAACAC